CAGUAGCCGCGGUAAUACGAAGGGGGCUAGCGUUGUUCGGAAUUACUGGGCGUAAAGCGCACGUAGGCGGAUAUUUAAGUCAGGGGUGAAAUCCCGGGGCUCAACCCCGGAACUGCCACUGAUACUGGGUGUCUAGAGUUCGGAAGAGGUAAGUGGAAUUGCGAGUGUAGAGGUGAAAUUCGUAGGUAUUCGCAGGAACACCAGUGGCGAAGGCGACUUACUGGUCCGAUACUGACGCUGAGGCGCGAAAGCUAGGGGAGCGAACGGGAUUAGAUACCCGGGUAGUCCCUGUCUCUUAUAA
rnacentral:rRNA from 1 species